AGCGGGAAAAGCUCAAAUUUAAAAUCUGGCGGUGUUUGGCCGUCCGAGUUGUAGUCUGGAGAAGUGCUUUCCGCGCUGGACCGUGUAUAAGUCUCUUGGAACAGAGCGUCAUAGAGGGUGAGAAUCCCGUCUUUGACACGGACUACCAGUGCUKUGUGAUGCGCUCUCAAAGAGUCGAGUUGUUUGGGAAUGCAGCUCAAAAUGGGUGGUGAAUUCCAUCUAAAGCUAAAUAUUGGCGAGAGACCGAUAGCGAACAAGUACCGUGAGGGAAAGAUGAAAAGCACUUUGGAAAGAGAGUUAAACAGUACGUGAAAUUGCUGAAAGGGAAACGCUUGAAGUCAGUCGCGUUGUCCGGAACUCAGCCUUGCUUUUGCUUGGUGCACUUUCCGGAUGACGGGUCAGCAUCGAUUUUGACCGUCGGAAAAGGGCUGGAGUAAUGUGGCACCUCCGGGUGUGUUAUAGACUCUGGUCGCAUACGGCGGUUGGGAUCGAGGAACGCAGCGCGCCGCAAGGCAGGGGUUCGCCCACUUUCGCGCUUAGGAUGCUGGCAUAAUGGCUUUAAACGACCCGUCUUGAAACACGGACCAAGGAGUCUAACAUACCUGCGAGUGUUUGGGUGGAAAACCCGAGCGCGCAAUGAAAGUGAAAGUUGAGACCCCUGUCGUGGGGGGCAUCGACGCCCGGACCUGACGUUCUCUGACGGAUCCGCGGUAGAGCAUGUAUGUUGGGACCCGAAAGAUGGUGAACUAUGCCUGAAUAGGGUGAAGCCAGAGGAAACUCUGGUGGAGGCUCGUAGCGAUUCUGACGUGCAAAUCGAUCGUCAAAUUUGGGUAUAGGGGCGAAA
rnacentral:rRNA from 1 species